rnacentral:lncRNA from 1 species
CAGGGACUAUGCCACAGUUUUCUAUUAUAAGAUGCAUUACUUGGCCUUGCUUCUCUAACAUUAUUAUAGAGCCAGAUGAGUGAGCAAUAAAUCCAGAGCAACACACUCCUCCGGUGUGCUGUCAGUGAGGAGCAGGCGAAGCAGUAAACGCGAGAUGUCAGUCACCCUGCGUAGUGUCACUGAGUGCACCGAUACUGCUGCUGGUGUCGUGGGAGAAACCAGAACCUAGACUUAAAAAACCCAUCAAUUUUGGAAACAAGGAACCAGCCUCAUAGCAAGAGAUUAUGUGGAGCAAGUUGCCUGCAAACUGCUGUAUUUCCCACCACUAGCCAUGUCCAUACUGAAUAAUUUUGCUGUGUGAAGGAGAACUCCAAAGGAUGAAGCUGAGUUGGAGGAUUUACCCGACAGAGGCAAUGGGACUUCAGUGUAAGGACCUAAUCCAGCCCAAGCGRAGGGCCACCGACGGGAAUGGCCUCAUGCCUCUCCCAGUGUGCUGAAGCUGCUUGG